rnacentral:tRNA from 1 species
GGAAGUGGAUAGGAUCUGGUGGUCCUUGCGGACUUCAAAUCCGUCAGGCCGGCGCAAGCUGGUUGGCAGGUUCGAUUCCUGCCCCUUCCGCCA